GGAAUAUUGGACAAUGGGCGAGAGCCUGAUCCAGCCAUGCCGCGUGCAGGAAGACUGCCCUAUGGGUUGUAAACUGCUUUUAUACGGGAAGAAACACCCCCUCGUGAGGGGGCUUGACGGUACCGUACGAAUAAGGAUCGGCUAACUCCGUGCCAGCAGCCGCGGUAAUACGGAGGAUCCAAGCGUUAUCCGGAAUCAUUGGGUUUAAAGGGUCCGUAGGCGGGAGAGUAAGUCAGUGGUGAAAGUCUGCAGCUCAACUGUAGAACUGCCAUUGAAACUGUUUUCCUUGAGUCAUUAUGAAGUGGUUAGAAUAUGUAGUGUAGCGGUGAAAUGCAUAGAUAUUACAUAGAAUACCGAUUGCGAAGGCAGAUCACUAAUAAUGUACUGACGCUGAGGGACGAAAGCGUAGGUAGCGAACAGGA
rnacentral:misc_RNA from 1 species